CGGAGCUCCAAUAACAAAGUGAGAGGUGUUAGCUCAGCACACCCAGGAAGUGAUGACAUGCAUUUUGCUCAAACACAGACUACAUGUAGCCUCAGAGGGGUGCAAAAUAAGGAGAGGUAAAAACUUUUAAAAAACGCUGGGUGCGGGGGCACAUGUCUUUAAUUCCAACAUCAGGCCAGUCAGUUACACAGUGGGACGUCACCUCAAAAGAGGACAGAGUUGGGAGCACACUAUUCUCCAUCUGAGCAACUGAGACAGAGACCACAGACGAUGAGUGACUGUGGACGGUAAAGACUGAGCUACAGAAGGAAGCAGCAGCCAAUCAGCAAACAGAGACUGUGCUGACCCUCGGGCUGCGGGAGCAUUAACUCCCUGGCUACCAGCACUGCUGCUGCUGCUGCUGCUGCUGUUCCUCCUGCUCUCUAAAGAAGGAAAGAUAAAACAGGCAUCGGACACCCUAAGUUCAGGAAGCAUUCUCCGCUCUGAUCUCAAAGUCACCUUCAAGCACUAAUGGAAGCACAUGGCUCGGAUUCCUCCCUGCCCAGAACAAAACCCACAGGAAAGACCAAUGUAAGGGGACAAGUCUCCCCACGUUCUCCUCCCCCAAGAAACAGCUUUAUAAACCAUAUGACACUCGUGAUGAAAAGACUGCAAUUUAGAAAUUGAGGACAAGAAAAAUUAACAGGAGCAUGAGACAAAAAGAACACAUGACCUGAUACAGAAGCCUCUGAAAUUGAGUUUGGAAACACAUGGGCAAUCGUCUAAUUACCAGAUGAAACAAACUACAACUCAGAGCUCAGUUUACCAGAGGAAAUAAAUACUAAGGCACUCUGUAUCACAGUUGUGAAUGAAUAAAUACCAAGGGAGGUAUGGCAGAUGCUCUAAAUGCAAUCAAGUUAAGUUGUUGUAUUUUUACAAUCAAGGUAUUAUAAUCUAUGGCUUUAUAGAUUUGUUACUAACCUCCUAAUCUGGCAGGUUAAAUUUCAACAUUCGAAGCCCUGGUUAGGUUUUCUAGAAAUGCUCCAGUAAGUUGACAUAAUAAUUAACGCCAUUUGAUCUACAAAAUCUGAGUACUCAGUGCUAAGAGUGAUGAGUGACCUUGAGGCAGCACUUGGAAGGCAGUCUCCAUGGCAACGCUUCCACAAAAGUGCCUCAUCCUCAGCAAAAGGACCAACCCAGAGCAUAAGGAUUUUUAAAACAGAAAACCUCGGCCCUCACCCACAAGCGUGGCAAGGUGUCACAGUUUCUUUUUAAAAAGUCUCUACAUUAACCUUCCAGAUUAUUCUUCAGAGAAAACACAAAUUAUCUUCACAGUUAUAUAUCUGAUCUGGCCAA